rnacentral:tRNA from 1 species
GAGGUUAUAGCUCAAGUGGCAGAGUGCAUGCUUAGAAUGCAUGAAGUCCUGGGUUCAAUCCCCAGUAUCUCCU